rnacentral:lncRNA from 1 species
UAGGUUUAGGUUUGAGAAACUACAGUAAAUAAUGUAGUGUGAGAAAAAGUCGAUUGAGUAAUAUACCUUCUUAUUUGUUGGAAUUCUCGUUAAGCAAGUUUUUAUAAAAACUUCUUACAUGUAUAUAUAUAUAUAAGUAAAAAAUACAACAUUAAUAUCAAUACACUAAGUAAUGGAGCAAACUUUAGGAUGACAGAACGUUUUACUUGAAGAACAUGAUACAAUAUAUAUGUUUUUCACUUACCAAGAAAAGGAAAGAAAGGGGAAAAAAGGGCGCAUGACAUCCCUGUCUUCAUGUAGCUGGAUACAAAAACAAUUUCUGCCUGUAGCAAGACAAGUACUUCGACGUAAGACUGCUCGCUACUUGAAUAAUGAAGCGGGCGGAGUAGGUGUCAUAUAUGGUGUCGAAAUGGUAAAAAAAUAAACAGAACUGAGCAGAAAACAACCGACAGCAGUAUUUCAAGUACCACUGGAGGAAAAUUCAGAAGUUGAAGAAGAUAGGGUACGUUCCUGGUCCAAAUCUUGCCUAAUAGAUGAAUUAGAAGUGUUACGGUAGAAUCUGAGAGAAGUAAAAAGAUAAUAGGAAGAAAUCGGACGAGCUAAAUAGAAAAUUAUAAUAAGGGUGUUUUUUUUCAAGAAAUACAAACAACAUUUAAAGGGGCCAUUAAUGUAAAUCGUGCUCAGCUGAAGCCAAUAAAGCUGCUAGGAGA